rnacentral:rRNA from 1 species
CCUACGGGUGGCAGCAGUCGAGAAUCAUUCACAAUGGGGGAAACCCUGAUGGUGCGACGCCGCGUGGGGGAAUGAAGGUCUUCGGAUUGUAAACCCCUGUCAUGUGGGAGCAAAUUAAAAAGAUAGUACCACAAGAGGAAGAGACGGCUAACUCUGUGCCAGCAGCCGCGGUAAUACAGAGGUCUCAAGCGUUGUUCGGAAUCACUGGGCGUAAGGCGUGCGUAGGCUGUUUCGUAAGUCGUGUGUGAAAGGCGCGGGCUCAACCCGCGGACGGCACAUGAUACUGCGAGACUAGAGUAAUGAAGGGGGAACCGGAAUUCGCGGUGUAGCAGUGAAAUGCGUAGAUAUCGAGAGGAACACUCGUGGCGAAGGCGGGUUCCUGGACAUUAACUGACGCUGAGGCACGAAGGCCAGGGGAGCGAAAGGGAUUAGAUACCCGAGUAGUC